rnacentral:ncRNA from 1 species
UAUGAGCUUUGUACGAGAGGAACCGUUCAUCCGGAUAAUUGGUAUUCAGGCCUGGCAGAGCGGGCAAUGGCUCGAAUCUGUUAUCAGUUGGAUUAGAGCUGAAUGCUUCCAAGUCAGAAUCCGU